rnacentral:rRNA from 1 species
UACAGAGGGUGCUAGCGUUAAUCGGAUUUACUGGGCGUAAAGCGCGUGUAGGCGGCUUUGCAAGUCGGAUGUGAAAGCCCACGGCUCAACCGUGGAAGUGCAUCCGAAACUGCAUGGCUCGAGUCUCGGAGAGGAAGGUGGAAUGCUUGGUGUAGAGGUGAAAUUCGUAGAUAUCAAGCAGAACACCUGCGGCGAAGGCGGCCUUCUGGACGAUGACUGACGCUGAGACGCGAAAGCGUGGGGAGCAAACAGG